rnacentral:rRNA from 1 species
GACGAACGCUGGCGGCGUGCUUAACACAUGCAAGUCGAACGGAAAGGCCCUGCUUUUGUGGGGUGCUCGAGUGGCGAACGGGUGAGUAACACGUGAGUAACCUGCCCUUGACUUUGGGAUAACUUCAGGAAACUGGGGCUAAUACCGGCUAGGAGCUCCUGCUGCAUGGUGGGGGUUGGAAAGUUUCGGCGGUUGUGGAUGGACUCGCGGCUUAUCAGCUUGUUGGUGGGGUAGUGGCUUACCAAGGCUUUGACGGGUAGCCGGCCUGAGGGGGUGACCGGCCACAUUGGGACUGAGAUACGGCCCAGACUCCUACGGGAGGCAGCAGUGGGGAAUAUUGCACAAUGGGCGGAAGCCUGAUGCAGCAACGCCGCGUGCGGGAUGACGGCCUUCGGGUUGUAAACCGCUUUCGCCUGUGACGAAGCGUGAGUGACGGUAAUGGGUAAAGAAGCACCGGCUAACUACGUG